rnacentral:SRP_RNA from 1 species
UCUGGGCAUGGUGGUGCAUGCCUGUACUCCCAGCUACUCAGAAGGCUGAAGCGGGAGGAUCACUUGAGCCCAAGAGUUCUGGGAUGUAGUAUGGUAUACCCAUAGAGUAUCCACACUAAAUUUAGCAUCAGUAUGGUGACCUCCUGGGAGCAGGGCACCACCAGGUUGCCUGAGGAGGGGUGAACGGGCCCAGGUAGGAAACAGAGCAGGUCAGAACUCUGGUACUGAUCAGUAGUAGGAUUGUGCCUGUAAAUAGCCACUGCAUUCCAGCCUGGGCAAUGUUGGGAGACCCAGUGUCU